rnacentral:lncRNA from 1 species
CUUUAUAAGAACAGCUCUUACUCCUGUUAUAUAUUUUUCUUCAUCUUCCAAGGACUCUAAACUAAAAUAUCACAAUUUCAUCUUCCUCAAAUGUUUAGGUGUUGCUCUCAAUUUGUUCCUUGCUAACGGACCCAAACCCUGAUGAUCCCUUGGUCCCUGAAAUCGCCCACAUGUACAAGACAGACAGGAACAAGUAUGAGUCAACUGCCAGGAGCUGGACCCAGAAAUAUGCCAUGGGCUAAGUGACCUGUGAUAUAUGUGAGGGAGAGCCUUUUUACUUCACAGUAUUUAGGCCAAACAGCCUUGUAUGAAUAUUUUUCGUCUUCAAUCAUGAACAGAUUAAUGAAGGCCCAUCCAAUUAAAGAUGAUUGGGGGAAAAACGUUUCUCCUGCUGUUUGUAUUGCAAAUGUUAAUUUUGGAACAGUGAAAUGUGGCCAAAUUGAAUGUUCGCUCUAGUUUUUACCUGUCUUGAUACUUGAUAGUGCCAUUGCAUAUUCAAUAUUUUUUUUCCUGGAUUUGAUUAUUUGUUUUUGUUUUAAACCACGGGAACCCAAAAGAUGAACCCGUGUUAGUCAUGCGCUUGGUGGCGGAUUUGAUCUACUAGUUUUUAUUCUCUUCUUUGGAAAAACUACAAACACAAAAGCUAAGAGAUGCCCAUAGAAUCCCUCAAUUACAGGUGGCCCAACUCAUGAGGAUGGGGGGUCAUGAGGAGGGGGUAAGGGGGGAAUCCGGAACGCAAACCCCACUAUGCUGACCGCUAGCUCCCAUCCUGGCCAACCGAUCUGCUACCAAAUUGAUAUCCUUGCUGAUCAGCACCAGCUCUACCAUCCAAUCACGCACCUGCCACUCCCUUAUUUCUGCAAUAACUGGCGCGAAUCUGCCCACUUCAUCAUCUGCUAUUGCACGAGCCAACUCGGAGCAAUCCAACUCAAUUACCACACACCUAAACCCCCCUGUUCCAGGCUACUUCGCACCCAUCCCUUAAAGCCAUAGUUUCGACCUUAAAGCCAUAGCUUCGACCUCAAACGCACUACCACCCACAACAAAAAACUGAACCCAAACAGUCAUAUCCUUGCAGUAUCUCUGGCCACCCCGCCACCACCCAUUACGUUCCUCACCUCACUAUAACUCCCAUCCACAUUAAGUUUAAUUCUUCCAUUCUCCGGCGGCCUCCACUUCUCCACCAUGAGCCAAUAUGCAUCAAUAGCACCCUGGGAAUCCAUAACCUCACUAUAACUCCCAUCCACAUUAAGUUUAAUUCUUCCAUUCUCCGGCGGCCUCCACUUCUCCACCAUGCAUCAAUAGCACCCUGGGAAUCCAUAAAGAUCGCAAAUUCAUCAUGGUCAUGCCUAAUCGGUCUCCAUGCGUCCUGAAUACUCCAGGAAGAUUCUCAAAAACAAUGUUGUUCCUCCAUUUCCACACCCCCACAGAGCCGCCAAUGAUUUAACACCCCAAGGUCCACGAGCUUGCCUCCCAAUCUAAUCAGCUACCUCUUGGGUAAAGAAGCCAACCAGUUCACUGCUCUCAUCCUAUUCAAGACUUCCCUCGAGUGUGGACAAUCACGAAGGCAAUGCACGAUGGACUCUGUCUCUGUCGAGCAACGAGAACAAGCCACCGAAGGGGACAUAUGGCACCUAUUCCAGUACUCAUUUUACCUGAAGAGAAUUAUGCAAGAUGACCCAGACAAAGUAUUUUACCCUUUUUGGAAUUAACCUUCAAUUUCCAAACCCAUUCCCAUGUCCCCAUUACUCUCCUUUUCCUGCAGCUAGGUAUAUGCUUCUCUAGUGGAAUAGCAACCCUCCACACUACUUCCCCAAACCCACAUAUCAUCUCUAUUAUCAUUCAAAAUCGGUUCUAGAUUCAGGAGCUUCUGUUCUACCUCAUCUGGGAUACUUGUAUAUAGCGAUCUGAGGUCCCAUUUUUCUUCUUUCACCAUGUCCCUCAUCACAACUCUGUAUCUGUGAUGUUGACGGACAAAACCACUCGAGCAACCUAGACCACUCCAGUUAUCAUACCACAACGACGUUUUGUUGUUACCCAAUCUGUUAGCAAAUCCUUCCCUGACUUGAUCUUGAGCCCGCGAAAUACCUUUCCAGACAACGAAUCCGAACUGCCAUGACUAACCUAGAAUAGCGAUUUCUCCUCCAGGUAUCUAUGUCUCAUCACCUGAACCCAAACACUCUUAUGAUUAUGGUGCAUAAGUUGCCAAGUUGCCUUCCCUAACAAGGUUGAACUCGUCGUCGCCAUCACACACACACACACACCUAACCCACCUCGCUCCUUCCUUUCCGUGACUAUAUUCCAUCCGACGAGGUGCCACACAAGGUUGAAUUCGUCGUCGCCAUCACACACACCACCCCCCUGCGAUGUGUUACAGGACCAAACAAACAAUCGCAUCACCUGAUCAAUUCUUCCCAGGAUCCCUCUUGGAAGCCAGAAAGCUUGCAUUGAAUACAUAGGUAUGGUUGAGAUCACCGAUUUUAGAAGGCACAAUCUUCCCGCCAUGCUCAAUAUAUAUUUUUCUUCAUCUUCCAAUGACUCUAAACUAAAAUAGCACAAUUUCAUCUUGCUCAAAUAUUUAGGCGUUGCUCUCAAUUUGUUCCCUCUAACGGACCCAAAUCCUGAUGAUCCCUUGGUCUCUGAAAUCGCCCACAUGU